rnacentral:rRNA from 1 species
UACGUAGGGGGGCGAGCGUUGUCCGGAUUUAUUGGGCGUAAAGAGCGUGUAGGCGGCCAGGUAGGUCUGCUGUGAAAACUCGAGGCUCAACCUCGAGACGUCGGCGGAAACCAUCUGGCUAGAGUCCGGAAGAGGAGAGUGGAAUUCCUGGUGUAGCGGUGAAAUGCGCAGAUAUCAGGAAGAACACCAGUGGCGAAGGCGGCUCACUGGUCCGGUACUGACGCUGAGGUGCGAAAGCGUGGGGAGCAAACAGG